CUAACCAAACAGCCCCCUAACCAAACGCUCCUCUCCUCUCUCUUCAACCUAACCAUCGCCGCCACCCCUUCCACCCCGUCACGUCCGUCACCUCACCACCACCACGCCCAUAUCCCACAAAAUCCGCUACCUACACCCCUCUUCUCCUUUCUCACACUCCAUCUCUGAAGCUUGCAGGCUCCAUGUGCGAUUUCAGCGGAUUUCAUGAGGAUUUGGAGACUCGAGACGACAACAAGCCUCAGUUUGCUGUCACGGAGAAGGUAAUCGCAUUCGUCCUAUCUUCGUCUUUAAUUUAGUAGAAGUAGAAAUGUAGUCGUUCAAGUAUUUCUUGUCGUUUAUUUGGUUUAGUUGGAUGCUGGAAUAUGUGUUCCCCUCGUUUGUUGUAAAUUAGCGUGAAACGACUAAUUUCGUCGAAUAUGUGUUUGACUCCCGUCGCUGCUGUCAAAAGAUAACAUUUGAACCCCAUUUUAUUCCUAUCAUUCAUUUUCGCAUUAGCACAUAAGUGUUUAUUUUUGGUUUGUUUGAGAAGAUUUAUUUUAAAAUAUGUAGCCUAACGUUGGCAGAAAAGUGGUUGCUGCACUUAAACUAAGAAGGAUUGCCACUGCUAUUUGUUGAUGUAUUGGCAUGAGUCUACUAUAAUUGGGGCAAAGUUGCCACUGCCUUUGAGAUGCCACACUUUCAGACUUCUAGAUGAUGUUGCAUUAUAGGCUGUUUGCUCCAAGGACAACUUGAGUUCCCAGGAGCUUUAAUGUUGCACUUUGGCGAUAACCUUGCUGUUUUUCCUACUUGCUAUUUAUUGAUGUUGUUUUGCUGCUACAUCUUGGUGCAAGGGUUGCUGUGCCUUAGGCAUAUUUUACUGCAUAUUGUUUUUUAGUUAAACUAGUACUGCUACUUGGUUGCUGGUUGCCCCCUUACCUUUGUGGCUACUAUUGCUGCUAUAUUGUCCUCAUAGAUGUUGUGCCCCCUCUCCUCUCAAAAACAAAUACUACACUUGAUAGGAAAUGGUUGCUCCCAUAUUUAUUAUGGCCUAUUGUUGCUGUUUUCUCUGUUGUUUGCUGCUGCCCUACAAAAUUAGACUGUUACUUAUUGUUGUCAUGCUUGUAAAUUGAACCCUUGACAUGUUCAAAAAAUGUUCUUCUGGGCUGUUGUUAUCGCUGUUUGCCCUGUGUCGCUGCCCAUUUUGGGAUAAGUUUUCCCCUUCCAUGUUGUUGCUAUUUGUUGUAGUUGGCUGCCCUGUUGAUGACCAUUUUAAGCCUAAUGACUGAUGUACUUAGCCAAAGAUCGCUGGUGUAUUUUUGGAAAAAUCGACUAAUGUGUUUAAAUUUCAAAGUGCUAUAAUUUUCGCUAUAAACUUUCUGCCAAACACGAGUAGAUGCUCCACUUAGCUGCUGGUUCGUAUUGUUAUACUUCGAGGCCGAAUGGCUGACUAUAGUUGACAUCCAACUGCUGCAUAUAGCAGUAGAUCCCAAUAAAAUUUGGGAUUUCCAUUUGAAGCUCGUGUGUUACUUAAGUGUUGCUGCAUUUUAGACCCUUUGCUACUACGUUUGUGGCCAUUUUCACCUCAUUUUGGGACUGAUUUACUGCCUGCAUUUUGGCCAACUGAUUGCUGCAUUUUUGUGGCUGAAAAUGCCACAUUCUUGAGACACAUUUAGAACCAAACAGUUACUGCAAUUUAUACCUAGUGUUGCUGCACUUUUGGGGACUGAUUUAAGCCAAACAGUGGCUGCAUUUACUGCUGCAUUUUUGCUAAAAGUUGCUGCCAUAAACAUGGUAUUUCAAGCAAAAUUUGAAGUUAAGUAAUUGCUGCGUUUAGGCCAAAUGUUUUUUUGCAUCUUAAGCCAAGUUGUAGCUGCACUUCAAGGCAAGCACAACACUGCAUUAUGAGCCGAAUCGCUGAGGCAUUUCAAGGCAAGAAGAUGUCGCGUUUUGAGCCGAAGUACUACUGCGAUCUAUGGCGAACAGAUGUUACACUUGAGUUGCAUUUGAUGAACUACUACUACUACAUUUAAAUGAGUUUCGUUUCUCCACUUUAUGAGCUGUUUGUUGUGCAUGAAUGGCUGCAUUUUAAGCAAGUAUAUGAGGUCUUCGGGGAUAGAACACCUGCUGAAUGUUUGGGCAUUUUCGAGGUUCAAAAUGUUAUACUCUUGGCUGUAUUUUUUGGUUAUUCACUGCCGCAUUGUUGGCUGUUUCACUGCUAAUGUUUUUGGCCCAACAACUGCUGCAUUUUAAGGAUGAAAUAAGUUACUUUCUUGAGGCAACAUUUCUUAAAAAAAAAAAAAACAGAUUCCUAUACCUGAUGAAUGUUCACUGAUUUGAACAUGAUACUAUGCUUGGGCUGAUGAAGAGUUGUUUAACUUGAGGCCUCACUUUUAAAAGAACGGAUUUCCAUACUUGAUUGAAAGUUUACUGAUUUGAACACUUGCAUAAAAAGGGAGUGGGGCUGCUAUUUUGAAUUUCGGGUGCAAUUAAUAGCUAACUUAUUUUUCCUUAUUUGAACCUAGAGAAAAAAGGCUAAGUAUCUCUGGAUAUAUGUUGUUUGGGAAUAAGCCAAAAUGAUGUUUUGAAGUUUGAGUAAGCUUUAGUUUAAUCAAAAGUUCUUGUAUUAGCUUGAAGCGUUUUGGUUGUUUGAGUAGCAAUUGGGACUACAAUGAUCUUCUUUUAAACUGAUCGUGGUGUUGCGUUUUGAGAAUGUGUUACGCCCCAGAAAUUUUCAUGUUACCAAGGCUGCAGACGGUUUAAUGUGAGCUCAAGGAGGAGCAAAUAUUAUAAGUAUAAAGGAUGAAAUUCUACUGUAUUAGCAUGAGUAUGAUAUUUGGAAUUCGUACAAUACGAUUGGAAUGAUACGUUAAAAGAUAUAUAGCCCUUGUAAUCGUAAGUUGAGGUGGGGUCCACAUGUCGAAAUUUUAUAAAGGACAUAUGACAAGUUAUAUGGAUAAUAUAUGUGAAGUUUAACACAACUCAAGAAGGACCCUUGAGCCAAAUCAAAGUGAAAGCCCUCCAAAAAGAUGUUUUUAAGUUACGUUUUCGGGUGAUCUGACUUCGGGAGGCCAUAACCCCAUCAUUAUUCGGGAAUUUGGGAAAAUUCCUAAAAUGAAAGUUAUAGAUAAUUGAAAUACCUUUCUAACCAUAGGUCUUGGGCCUGCAUGUGACAUAGGGAUAAAACGUUAUGGACGUUUUAAGGCAGAAAGGUCAAGCUGGGCAGUGGGCUUGGCCCAACUCGAUUCCAAGUCGGGUCAGGCCCACUUCCCUUGCUAUUUAAGGGAAAUUUUUAGCCUCAUCUGCUUCAUUUUCAUACAAAAGGUCCAGAAUAUUUUAGAUAGAGAGAGUAGAGUUAGAGAGAGAGAGAGUGGAGAAUCGAUCAAGUUCGAGGCCCUGAAUCCCGAGGCCAGUGAAGGAUAAAAUGUAGUACAUGUUGUUGCCGUCAUUUUAAGCUAAAAGUUGAACUUGGGGGAUGUUGGUUUCGUGGUGACUGCUCAUAUAAGGUAUGUUUAAGAUGUUCUUACCAUGAUCAUUGAUAGAUUUGACGGGUUAGAAUAGAGAAAAUGACGUUGAAAGUUCGGUUAUAAUUUUUGGAUAUCAAAUGACUUGGGGGCUGUUUUGGUAUGAUUAAAUGGAUAGAAUUAGCUGGAUAUUGAUAUAAAAUGAUUGUUGAUAUGUUGUUGACAAGUUGUUCUUGAAUUUGGGAGAAUAAAGUGUAUGAAGAUAUCAUACAAAGCGUAUACUGGGUUGUUUUGGUGUAUAUCUUUGGGAGUUGAUGCUUUGAGUUUAAAGAGACUUAUAUGAGAUGGUUGUCAUUGUUGUUGGUUGCUGAUUGUGUUGUUAAAUUGAAUUGGAAUUAGAGGGAAGCGAAGAUUACAGGGAAAAUGCUGCCCGAAUUUACGGAAGUUAAUUACGAGCUUAGAGAAGUAUAUGAAUCUUUUUCAAGUUGUCUACGGGGUUUCCUUUACCUUGAUUGUGGAUUGGCCAGUGUUUGGAAACAUAAGUUAAGCUAAUCACGUAAGCGACAAGGUAUGUAAGGAAAACCUUUCUUUCUUUGGCAUGAUUCUUGCUGUUAUUCAUUCUAUAUGUACUCCAUAUAAUCGAUUCCAUUCUUAGACGAGUAAGAUCUAAAUGUUUCUUGUGAUGACUUAUUGAUAUUGUACUCCUAUUCUGUUCCAAAGGGAACACCCAUAAGGUGCCAAGUUGAGUUAUGUAUAUGGUUUUACUAAUGAUUUUGAGGAAAUGCGUUUUAUACUAAAGGAAACAUAAAGUUUGAUUUUCAAAACCAUUCCGAAGGGGGUGCGAGAUUUUACUACUUCAUUUCGUUUAUGAUUUAUGUCUACAUUCCAUAGUAUCAUCCCUUUGUACUGAUAUGAUCACUUAUUCUUUGGGUAGGGCAAUGAGAUGAAAUUAAGUAGAAUAUAAGUAGUAAGAAUUUGAUAACAAUUCUACCCUCAAACCUGAAAGUAUGUCUAGUGAGAUACAAAUUUGAUAAUUUCUUAUGAAAGUCUAAGGCUAAUAACUGGAUUGUGAUGAAUUAAUUAGUGACUUAUGCUUUGAAUUGAAAUUGUUAUUUAUGAAUUGAGUUUGUGUUGAUACGAUGGUGAUAUUAAGCCGGAAGCGGCUGCUCGAAGGGGCCACCCUAGCUAAGCCGGAAGCGGCUGCCCGAAGGGGCCAUCAUUAUUAUGCCGGAAGCGGCCGUUCGAAGGGACUAUUGUGAUACUAGCUGGAAGCGGCUGUGUGAAGGGACUAUUCUGUUAACAUGUCGGAAGCGGCGUAUGUUUUGGAUUGCAUUAUUUACUUAAAGAUUGUUGUGAGACUUCGUGUGCACAUUUAUGUUUCUUCUAGCAAAGGCUGCAGGUAUUGAGUUAGAUUGUGAUUUCUUCUCUCCUAAGUCAAAUUAUGAUUAUGACUUGUUACCACCUUACAUACUCAGUACAUUGUCCGUACUGACGUCCUUUUACCUGGAGACGCGUUCAUGCCCGCAGCCCCAGAUUGUUUGGCAGGUUAAGUGUAUAGCUAGGAUGCUUGGACGUCAGCUGGGAUUGACAAGUUCCACCUCAUUCUGGAGUUGUGCUGAGUCAUGUAUCAAUAUCAGUGUUUUAAAAGACAGUUCUGGGACUCGCCUCGGGGCUAGCCCCGGGGCGGGGCACUAGCAAAAUGCCCCAGGGCUCACGUGCGGGGCUUAAUUCCUGCGAGGCUUACGCCCUAAGCGCCCGAUUGUACGCCCUAAACACGCCUAACGCCCAAUGCUCGGGGCUCGCCUAACAGUUCUUACACAAUUAUAUGUUAAAUUCCUUAAUUAAAACCGUUGACCCUCAUAAUUCUUUAAGAAAUGAUUGAUACUUAAUAAUUUUUCAUUUACCGAAAUAAGAAGAUUGGGUAUAGCUCAAAUAAGAAGUCGUAGUAUUGCAUAUUUACUAUAUGAGAACAUCGUGAGGGUGAAUAUCACUUAAUAUUUCUUUUAAGAAUACAUAACCAAAUUGUGAAUUUUCACUUGUCAUUGGUCUUUUGUUCUAUGUAUCAAAAUUAUCAUAUUUUAUUAUUUCUCUAUUUGAAAGUAAUUUUAUUUUUAUUCAUGAAGGAGUUACGUUUCAAUUAUAAUACUGAUAAAGUUGUAAACAGGGAGAUAUAAUGAAUAGUAUGUUAGUAAUAUUGUUUUAACAAAUUGUGAUUUUUUCAUUGUUUGAAAGUUAAGAUGUUAGAGUUAAUUUGCAUUUUAUAAUAGCUUUUAUUUCAUUAUAUUGUUUAUACUUGUAAGGUUAUAUAUAUAUAUAUAUAUAUAUAUAUAUAUAUAAUUUGAUCUAUUUAAAAAUAUUUAUUAUAAUUAUAUUAUUUUAUGAAAUACAAAAAAUUAAAUACCCAUGGGGCUUACACCCCGUGCCUCGGGGCUUAAGCCUCACUGAGGCAUAUGUAAAACGCCUCGCCUUACGCCCCUAUCUUUUUAAACACUGAUCGACAUGUAUGAUUAUGGGUAUGUCAGAGCCCUGUCCUGACUCAUAAUGUUCAGUUUACUUCUUAUAGACUUCUGCAGACAAUGUCCUGUGGUAUGUUUGUCGAGAUGUCGACAAAGUGAUGUCAGUUGGGUCAUUUGUGGAUUUUAAAAGAGUAUGUAUUUUAGAUGAUCUCCAUUGGUUAAAGUACUUAUUUGAUUGAAGGUUUUCAUAAUUGUUAUAAAGAUGAUGAUUUCUAUCUGGAAAAGUUUUUUUUUUUUUUUUUUUAAGUUUUUGAAAUGACAAGCUUUGAUAGAGCGAGUAUUUAAGGGUUCGCUCGACUCUGAUGAGAGUCGGGUGCUCGUCAUGCCCUACCACUGUUAGGGUGUGACACUAUGACACGAGAAAGCCUUGUCUUACAUUUGAUUAUUUUAUCUAGCUUUUAUUAAUUAAAGUUAUUUAGAUUUUUUUUUCCUCGUUAAGAAUUGUUUCUAAUCCUUAUCUUUAUUUUUUUUUCUUUUCUUUUUCAUGAGGAACCUUGGGAACAUUUGGAUUUAUGGCAACUCCGGAUUUUGCCCAUAUCAGAGAACAGCCAGUUGCAAGAUUUAAUUGCUCGUGUCUAGCCGUCCCUUACUUUCGCAUCUUGAGUUUCCGCUCUUCCUUUAUUCAAAAUUUUUGGCCUUCAUAUUGUUUGAUACGUGCUAUUUAUAUUAUUUGACUAACACUCUUGUGAAUUUGUAUUUUUGUAGUUUUGUUUUGAAUUCGUAACUCGACUUAAGUAUGUUAGUAAGUUUAGUUAUUAUCUUC